rnacentral:rRNA from 1 species
UACGGAGGGAGCUAGCGUUGUUCGGAAUUACUGGGCGUAAAGCGCACGUAGGCGGCGAUUCAAGUCAGAGGUGAAAGCCCGGGGCUCAACCCCGGAACUGCCUUUGAAACUAGAUUGCUAGAAUCCUGGAGAGGUUAGUGGAAUUCCGAGUGUAGAGGUGAAAUUCGUAGAGAUGUGGAGGAACACCAGUGGCGAAGGCGGCCAACUGGACAGUAACUGACGCUGAGGCGCGAAAGUGUGGGUAGCAAACAGGAUUAGAAACCCGAGUAGU